UACGUAGGGUGCUAGCGUUGUUCGGAAUUACUGGGCGUAAAGCGAGUGUAGGCGGUUUGGUAAGUCGGAUGUGAAAGCCCCGGGCUCAACCCGGGAAGUGCACUCGAUACUGCCAAGCUAGAGUAUCGGAGAGGUUGGUGGAAUUCUCGGUGUAGAGGUGAAAUUCGUAGAUAUCGAGAGGAACACCGGUGGCGAAGGCGGCCAACUGGACGAAUACUGACGCUGAGACUCGAAAGCGUGGGGGAGCAAACAGG
rnacentral:rRNA from 1 species